rnacentral:rRNA from 1 species
UAGUCUGGUGCCAGCAGCCGCGGUAAUUUGAGCUCCAUUAGCGCAUGUUACAGUUGUUGCGGUGCUCGUAGUUGGAUUUCUGCCACGGACAACCAGUCCGCCCUCUGGGCAUGUGUCUGGCUUUGCCUGGGCAUUUUCUUGGAGAACGUAGCUGCGCUUGACUUUGUGGUGCGGUAUCCAAGAUUUUUACUUUGAAGACAUUAGAAUGUUUGAAGCAGGCGCGCGCCUUGAUUACAUUAGCAUGGAUUCAUACGAUAGGACCUCGGUUCUAUUUUGUUGGUUUGUAGAGCUGAGGUAAUGAUUCAUAGGGAUAGUUGGGGGCAUUCGUAUUGAAUUGUCAGAGGUGGAAUUCUUGGAUUUCUUAAAGCCGCGCUACUGCCAGCAUUUGCCAAGGAUGUUUUCAUUGAUCAAGAACGACAGUUAGGGGAUCGAAGACGAUCAGAUUUCGUCCUAGUCUUAACCAUAAACCAUGCCGACUAGAGAUUGCAGGUCGUUAUCUAUACGACUCCUUCAGCGCCUUCUGAGAAAUCAAAAUCAUCGGGUUCCGGCGGGAGUAUGAUCGCAAGGCUGAACCUUAAAGGAAUUGACGGAAGGGCACCGCCAGGAGUUGAGCUUGCGGCAUAAUUUGAUUCAACACGGGGAAACUUACCAGGCCCAGACAUAGUAAGGAUUGACAGAUUGAUAGCUCUUUCUUGAUUCUAUGAGUGGUGGUGCAUGGCCGUUCUU